GCAAGUCGAGGGGCAGCGAGGGCGUAGCAAUACGCCUGUCGGCGACCGGCGCACUGGUGAGUAACACGUAUGCGACCUGCCCCCUACAGGGGUAUAACCCGUAGAAAUGCGGACUAAUCCCCCAUAGUCCGGGGUGCUGCAUGGCAUUCAGGGGAAAGGCCAGCCGGUAGAGGAUGGGCCUGCGGUGCAUUAGCUAGUGGGUGGGGCAACGGCCCACCAAGGCGACGAUGCGUAGGGGUUCUGAGAGGAAGGUC
rnacentral:rRNA from 1 species